UUUAAAAAAUUGGUUUCUGGACGCAAUGCAUCUUGAUGACUUUUACACACAUUGUCUUUAUUUUUUUAAUUAUCUUGGAAGAAAAUCUUUAAAAAUAUAAAUUUCAAGGCAUCUACUGCAACCACGACCUUGGAAGGCAGCAAUCCAGCCCGGGAAGGGACUGAGUCCACACAUCAGAUACAGUCCUUUUAAGUGCCCAUUUAGGACAGUUGCAGAGCAAGUAGCUUUUAGUGGGACAGGACAAGAACCACCCCAAACCUGAUGUUUUGACUGUUCCUAUCUCGUUGCCGAGGCUUGGACGGGUCCCGAAGCCUGUGAGACCGCAGAAGGGGGCUUCAGAUAACCCGCAGGCACGCGCUGGACCCCAGCAUCUCUCCAGGAAUCGAAGGGCUUC